AUGAAUGUGGACAAAAGAGCCUUGAAAUGCAGGGAGUUCAACGCGGGAUUCACAAAGCGAUUUCUGUUGAAAGAUGGAUCAGUAUCCUGUUUAUUUGGACCAGCUGCUCCACUGAAUCACAACCCAAUGUCACAUCUGUCUCCAUGGCCGCGGAAAGCUCAUCUCUCCUAUGCUGAUCCAAGACCAGCCUCUCUAGAUGAACCCAAACAAGAGCCAUUGUGAAGGUAAUCUCAAAACCAGUCUGAGAUCAGGGUGAGAGAGUGACUUCCACCAAUACCAUCUCCAUAGCGGUAGAAAAAGGAUCAGCACAAGAAAGACCCUUGUCCUCGCAUAAAAAAAACUAGACUUCUUCGCAGAGCAAAAACAAACACUCCCACCCUUUCAACGAGGCAUUGAGGCACAGAUUAUGAGGCAGUGCACAAGACAAACCAUGUUCCACGAACAGACAAUAACUCAGAGACCACCCUGAGGACAUUUACACUCGGGAGCCCCUGACGACGCUUCUUUGUCGUGUUUACUCAAACCCAAACUCAACUGCAUGAAUUUAGUUUUUUCCAAACCCAGUGAGCUGCUUCAAUUUAGCCUAAGAUACAUCUAANUUUAGUACUGUCCUGAAUAAGCUAUUUCACAUAACAGAUGUUUAUACACAAGACAAAAUGAUAACUGAAUUUAUAAAAAUGACCCCGUUCAAAAGUUUACAUGCCCUUGAUUCUUAAUACUGUGUUGUUUCCUGGAUGAUCCACGACUGUCUUUCUGUUUAGUGAUAGCUGUUCAUGAGUCCCUUGUUGGUCCUGAUCAGUUCAACUGCAUUGCUGUUCUUCUUCUUCUUCAAAAAAAAAAAAAAAGAAAUCCUCCAGCUCCUGCACAUUCUUUGGUUUUCCAACAUUUUCUGUAUAUUUGAACCCUUUCCAGCAGUGACUGUAUGAUUUUGAGAUCCAUCUUUUCACAUGGAGGACAACUGGGGGACUCAUACAUAACUAUUAUAUGAGGUGAAAACAUUUGCUGAUGCUCAAGAAGGCAACACAAUGCAUUACGUGCAGUACCAAACAAAAGAAAAUAUGAUCUUCAAACAAAAUAAGAAAAAAAUUACACAUCAUCAUCCUGUUAAAAAAGUUUACACCCUCUGGCUCUUAAUGCAUUGUUGCCUUCUUGAGCAUUAGUAAUUGUUUCCAAUUUUUGUAAUAGCUGUGUAAGGGUCCUAUUAUGAUUAUAUGAUUUUUAUACUUUUAUUGAACACAAAAUUUCAUCAUUCAAUCAUUAAUUGUUUUUACAUUUAUUAUUAUAAAUAUUUUUUAAUUAUUCAUUUAUUACAAUAUCUUUGAAUAUUGAACAUUCCAAACAAGUCACUGGGGUUCUGUUAAAGAUGUUUCUUUAGGAGGCAGCUGUCUAUAUAGACUACAAGGGAGCUCACUAGGAUUUGGAACAUAGUUAAUGACUCCUAAAUCAUGUGUUCCCCCUCAGUCUUAGCGUGACUGACCUUUACCAUCUCGUGAUGGAACCAUUGUGGUCUUGUGGGUCUUGGUGUCAUGACUAAGCUUGAUUGUAUGAAAAGAGUGUGGGCAUUAGCAUUGGUAUUAGCAAAGCCCUGGGCAUCACAGAGGAGCAGCUGGCCAUGAACGCUCCAGAGCUCACUGCAAAUGGACUGAUCUGGAAUGAAGGGUCUGUUGAACAUCUGCUAAUUUUCCAGCAGUGCUGCUGUUGAUCUGAGGCCUGGAGGUGAAGGACAUUGGGGGUUGGUUGGUUCAUCAAGAGUACCGUGAAAGCUGGAGAUUCCAGAUGAUGUCCAUAAAGUGAUAGUUCACCCCAAAAUGUUGGCCCAAACCUGUAUGACUGUGUUUCCUAUGUGGAACAUCAAAGAAGAUAUUUAAAAAAAAAUGUCUCAAUGUUUGGUCACCAACAUUCUACUAAAUAUUUGUAUUUUGUGUUCCGCAGAAGAAUUAAUGUCAUACAGAUUUGGAAUGACAUUAGAGUGAGUAUAUGAUUUUCAUUUUUAUAGGUAUUAUUAUUAUAUAUUUAAUUUCAAUAUGAAAGUGAUCAUAAUACAUUUUACUUAAAUAAUAUGAGGCAUUUGUAUGAUAUGUAUAAUAUGAUAUUUAGACAAUAAAUUUAUAAAUAAACAAACAAACAAAUAAAUAUAUAGGCUGGGAUUUGACCAAAAAAAAAAAAAAAAAAAAACACAUACAUAAAUUGUCAAAUUAUUUAAAAUAAAUGCAUACAAAUAUUAAAUUACUUAUUAUUAUUAUAAAGCAGGUAAAAUGAUUUCCUUAUUUAUAUUGUUCCACUAUAAACUUUAUAUUCUGUCGCAUUGCAGAAGUUAAAUGCAUUGCAAAUGUUCUAGAAUUUCAUAUUCUAAAAUUCUCUUAAAUGACAAGUGAAGAAAAAGCACAGUGACCAACUCUGAUCUCACUCCCCUUCUCCCCUCCCUCUCUCACCCUCUCUCUCUCCAUACCCACCUUAGCAAAGACAAACUCAUUUCCAUAUAAAUGGAGUGUAGGCCUGCAGCCCAGGGACCAGGCAGAAUUGCAAAUAUUUCAUCUCUUGCCUGGAGAGCCCGCUGCUGUUUCUUAGUCGCCAUCAGCCAUUGCUUCAUUCCCACCUUCUCUCUCUCUCAUCAAGCUGCUUCAUUCUCGUGCUGUUAUGCACACCUGACCACAUCCCCCAAGCACCUGCGGGGGUCAAAGAGGCCACUCUGGCUGUGAUCACCCAUCAGUUGUUGUAGCCAGGUUUGAAUGCAGAGAAUGCCAGGAGAGCUUUGGCUAAACCAGGGGGGUGAGCAGAUGAACUCUCUCUCUAGCUCUGUAUCCUUCACCAUCCACCCACAAUGCCUUUCUGGUUUUAUUCUACCCCCUCUACCCAGAGGCACCUGACAUCCUGAUUUAAAUCUUUUUGUUUAAGCAAUAUCAAAUCAUGCUGUAGUGCUGUAUUUCGGUGCAGCUGUGAGUUGGCCACAGGUAAUAUUGCUUUUAUAUGACAGUUCUAUAAAUAAAGUGAAUAAGGAAUAAUUCGGGUUCAGUGCAUUGUUGUUAUAGAUAAAUAAAACUAAGAGUAAAACCAGUAAAAGUAUAAAACAUUUUGUUACUUGAG
rnacentral:lncRNA from 12 species